rnacentral:lncRNA from 1 species
UCCGGGCCCCGCCGGUUUCAUAGACCUCGCGUUGCAGGGGGAGCCGGCGGGGGAGCGGGGCGGAGAGGUCGGGCCGGGUCGGGUCGGAGAGAGAGAAGGCUCGCUACGACGCGGAGGUCCAGGUGGAGGAGUCGAGAGACUGGGGGCUAGCGGCGGCUCGCGGAGGCGGUGACGGCCAGGUCCCCUGUUCAGUCCCGUUCAGAGGAAGGAAAAAAAGAGGAGGCGGUGGCGGUGCUGGGCUCCAACAUGUCCGUUUGGUGGUGGUGGUGGUGGUGGUGGCGGUGGUGGUGGUGGUGGCGGCGGCGGCGGCGGCGGCGGUGGUGGCGGCGGCUGCGCUUGGCGUCUCGUUGACACGGCCCCCCGCGCACACAUACAUACAAUCACUCACUCAUUCACUUACACGCACGCACAUACACCUACACUCGGGGUCAGGAAGCCGGCAGGCAGGCGGGCGGGCAGGCCAGCUAAGAGCCUGUUGUUGGAUUUGCUCGCCCCAGAAGACCUUCCUGGUGCCAGCCAGACCAUCGUAUUCUUUUCCCGCCUCAGCCGCCACCACCGCCAUCUUCUCCUACCGACCCUCCAGCCUCUUAUUUGAUGUUUUUGAAGUAGGUGUUUUUACUUCACUGUCUUCUGAGUUUGAGUUGAGGUCUUUUCUGUCCCCAUAAUAGCUGUUAAUAGUUGUGUUCUUUCUCCUUUUCUUGCUCUUCUUUUUUUUUUUCAGCAGCCAGGCCAAUAGAUUUAAUUAUUGUUUGUUUGUUUUUUUCCAAUAAUUGCCAACAUGUUACUAGUGUUUGGAUAUGCUACCUCAGGUUUCAAGACUUUCUUGUGUGUGUCUGUUUUUAACUGGAACCUAUUUAGUUAUUCCAACUUUGAUAGUCCGGAGUUGGAUAUACUUCCAGUCUCCCACUCAAAUCCCAGGCCAUGAUUCACCUCAGAUGCUCCAACCAAAGCCCACAGGAAGUUCUGCCACUGUAAUUGAAAGGAGACUGUCUACCUCCCCCUGUGGCAGUAGCCAGGUUGGGGCUGAUGGGGCCCCAGUACAUUAGCAACCAUACUCUCUGGUAUGCGCUCCUUCCUCACUUCUCCACUCCUAUUGUCUGAGCCCGGGAUAGAGCAGGUACCUAGUCUGAGUUCCUCAGACUCCAGAGUCCCUCAUUUGUUAGAAGUGAGGUUUAUGUUUCUGCCCUUAGGGCCUGGCACCCACAGAUUCUGUGGUAGUCAUUCCUUCACUCCCCAUCUGUGGACCACUGAUGGCCUCCAGAUCUAAGGCCUUGUAGACACAGCUUCUCCCAGAGCCCCCAGCCUAUGGAUUCCUGUGGUAUCCAGAAGGAUGUAAGCUUUGGGACUCAGAAACUAAGGUGAGACUGCUAGGUAUUGAUUCUACUCUGUUUGCUCUGUUCCUGCCCCCAGGGCCUGUGAUGAUGAGACUGAGGAUGGGGAAGUAAGAAACCUUCUUCCCUAGUUAUCCCUGGCAGUUCAGGGGCUCUCCAGACUCCUGUCUAUUUUUGUAGCUUUUAGCACUGAUUCUGUAGAGGGAUUUUUGGUUGUUUGUGGGGGGUAUUAGGAGGGCAAGGAAGCUUCAUAUCCUACUCUGCCAUUUUCCCACAAGGAAUCCAAUGCCAGAUUUUUUUUGAUGUUUUGAUUAGUUUUGCUGAUUCCCACCCCCCCCUUUCUCUUUUAGGUAGCUGGGUACACAAUGCAUAGAGCACAAGAUGUAUAGCCAAGAAAACCUGAGUUCAAAUCCUACCUCUGAUACUAGCUGUGGGAUCUGAGGCAACUUAGUUAAUAUCUACCUGCCUCAGUUUCCUCAUCUGGAAAAUAAUGGUGAUAAUUGCACCUACCUCACAGAGUUCUUAUAAAGAUCAGAUGAUUGAAAAAGUAGAAGAUGUAAAUUAUCUACAAUAAAAAACAAGUGAGCUGGAAAACA